rnacentral:rRNA from 1 species
UACGAAGGGGGCUAGCGUUGUUCGGAAUUACUGGGCGUAAAGCGCGCGCAGGCGGCUAUCCAAGUCAGUGGUGAAAGCCCGGAGCUCAACUCCGGAACUGCCAUUGAAACUGUUUAGCUUGAGGACGAGAGAGGUGAGUGGAAUUCCCAGUGUAGAGGUGAAAUUCGUAGAUAUUGGGAAGAACACCGGUGGCGAAGGCGGCUCACUGGCUCGUAUCUGACGCUCAGGCGCGAAAGCGUGGGGAUCAAACAGG